CGCUUAUUAGUUUAAUGGACAAACUCUUGACUUUAGAUCGGAUUAUCCAAGUUCGAUUCCUGGGUAAGCAA